rnacentral:sRNA from 1 species
AGAAUACCAAACGCGUACUGAAUUGUGA